ACUCUCUUAGUUUAACAAAAAAUUAAAGUUUUGUAAAUUUUAGAUCCAUUUGGAGAGAGUU
rnacentral:tRNA from 1 species